AAUCCUAGGUCAUCUAAAAACCAAAGCUUUUAUACCUCAUGGUGGAGCCAAUGGCACCUAUGAGAGGAUCUACCAUGGGAUCCCUGUGGUGGGCCUUCUUUGUUUGUAAAUUAACCUGAUAAGUUUGCUCACAUGAAGGCUAAGGCAUAAGCUGUUAGAGUAGACUCAAAAACAAUGUCAACUAUAGAUUUGAUCAAUGCAUGAAAAGCAGUCAUUAAUGACUCUUCCUUUAGCAGUAAAGAGAAUGUUAUAUGGUUAUCGGUCAUUCAUUAUGAUCAGCUUAUGAAGCCCAUGGACCAAAAAGUCUUCUGGAUCAAGUUUGUCAUGCGCCACAGAGGAGCCAAGUACUUGCCGCCACCUGCGAAAAACCUCAUCUGGUUCCAGCACUGCUCUCUGGUUGUGCUGGCCUGCGAGGCAAUUUUUACUCUUUUUUCAUAAUAUGUUCCUUGUUUGAUUAUCAAAAGUUUGUUAAGACAAGAAAGAAAAAAAAG
rnacentral:lncRNA from 1 species